CUAAUACAUGCAAGUCGAGCGGACAGAUGGGAGCUUGCUCCCUGAUGUUAGCGGCGGACGGGUGAGUAACACGUGGGUAACCUGCCUGUAAGACUGGGAUAACUCCGGGAAACCGGGGCUAAUACCGGAUGGUUGUUUGAACCGCAUGGUUCAGACAUAAAAGGUGGCUUCGGCUACCACUUACAGAUGGACCCGCGGCGCAUUAGCUAGUUGGUGAGGUAACGGCUCACCAAGGCGACGAUGCGUAGCCGACCUGAGAGGGUGAUCGGCCACACUGGGACUGAGACACGGCCCAGACUCCUACGGGAGGCAGCAGUAGGGAAUCUUCCGCAAUGGACGAAAGUCUGACGGAGCAACGCCGCGUGAGUGAUGAAGGUUUUCGGAUCGUAAAGCUCUGUUGUUAGGGAAGAACAAGUGCCGUUCAAAUAGGGCGGCACCUUGACGGUACCUAACCAGAAAGCCACGGCUAACUACGUGCCAGCAGCCGCGGUAAUACGUAGGUGGCAAGCGUUGUCCGGAAUUAUUGGGCGUAAAGGGCUCGCAGGCGGUUUCUUAAGUCUGAUGUGAAAGCCCCCGGCUCAACCGGGGAGGGUCAUUGGAAACUGGGGAACUUGAGUGCAGAAGAGGAGAGUGGAAUUCCACGUGUAGCGGUGAAAUGCGUAGAGAUGUGGAGGAACACCAGUGGCGAAGGUGACUCUCUGGUCUGUAACUGACGCUGAGGAGCGAAAGCGUGGGGAGCGAACAGGAUUAGAUUCCCUGGUAGUCCACGCCGUAAACGAUGAGUGCUAAGUGUUAGGGGGUUUCCGCCCGCUUAGUGCUGCAGCUAACGCAUUAAGCACUCCGCCUGGGGAGUACGG
rnacentral:rRNA from 1 species